UACGGGAAAUGCAUCAGCAUGCGNUCACCUUGUGGUCGGUAUACAGCCUGGUGCAUUACUGUCGUCAGCUCGUGUCGUGAGAUGUUGGGUUAAGUCCCGCAACGAGCGCNNCCCUUGUUCUGUGUUGCCAGCAUGCCCUUCGGGGUGAUGGGGACUCACAGGAGACUGCCUGGGGUCAACUCGGAGGAAGGUGGGGACGACGUCAAGUCAUCAUGCCCCUUAUGUCUUGGGCUGCACACUGUGCUACAAUGGCAGGUACAAUGAGCUGNGAUGCCGCGAGGGGAGGUUUAUCUCAAAAAGCCUGGGNGCAGGCGGAUUGGGGUCUGAAUCGACCCAUGAAGUCGGAGUGGCUAGAAUCGCANAUCAGGAUGCUG
rnacentral:rRNA from 1 species